GAGAGAGAGAGUGAAAAUGAGAAUCUGGCUCGGGUCAUAUCGCUGUCGGUAGGUGCUGGCGCUCAGUAUAUCUCGGACUCUCGGCGGGCGAAGGUGUGUCUCCCGCUUUCUCGAACUCCGCCGUUAGGACCUUCACCACCAUCUACCCGCCCCCCCCUCCCCCCGCUCUCCCUACCAUCCGAGGACAGAAAGUGAGAGGCUGAAUGGUUGCUGGUACUCUGUUGAUGGUUGGUGGUGCGUGUGACAACGGUUGGCAGUCCCGCUUCCCCGUUUGCCCGGCACCGCUGGAACCCGAUGCCACCUCCAAGAUGAUGGCACCAUUAAAGGAUCUGUAACAACCAUGCAACUUUUCCUCGCUGCCCUCCUGCCCGGUGAUAAACAGAUGGCGUUCAGUGGUACUGGUUUGUGAUGAGAUGUGAGAGCCUCUUUAAGAAAACUUGUGCGAUGAAAUUUGCGCUAGGAUGGAGGCCUAGUGUGUGUUUUUAUCUUCGUUAUGUGAUGGAGAAUAUAUGUGAUGAUGACAAUAUGUGAUGAAUAUUAAAUGUGAUGAAUACUUUUUGUGAUGAUUCAUGUGAUGACAGCCUGUGAUAUUGUGGCGCGGUGGUGAAAAUAUACGAUAAACAUUAAUGAACAUUUCAGGGUUUAAGUAUACAUUUCUUCGAAGUGCUGCAGUUCAUUCCUCAAGAAUACAAGGCCAUCGUACAGUGCGGAGAGUUGUGGUCUCAGGAAGCAAGCUAUACGGGUGAACUCGAACGAUAGUUUCGUUUGUUAUCAUGUGAUCACACAACCUGUCCUUACUCUAGCAACUCUACAGGGUAUUUAGUGUGUAAGUGUACCUACAAGCCAUCCUAUGUUGCCUCAUAAUAGUCGGUCGGUUAUUAGACACGUAAAAUUAAGCUCAAAAUGAUGAUGAGCAUGCCAGUUACGUCACUCAGCGGGGGAGGGGCUGUCCCGUCCCCUCUGGCCAAUCACGACCUCGCAUCUCCGCCAGCCAAUCACAACCAUCGAUUUGACUUCGCUCCGCAAACCUCCCCGACAACAACUUUCAUAAGAGUGAAGCAAGAACCCGGCUCCCCCGGCAGCAGUGAACCCCCGACGCCUGGCCCGGUGCUCGACGAUUCCGAUCUCCACAACUCGUGCUCGCCUUCCUCACUCCACGGUCAGUACAUCGCAGAACCUAGGGAUAGAGAGGGAAGAGAUGGAAGGGAGGUGGCUUUUUUUUAGGCAAAUA